rnacentral:tRNA from 1 species
GGUGGGGUGGCCGAGUGGUUAAUGGCAACAGACUGUAAAUCUGUCGUGCACCGCACUACGUAGGUUCAAAUCCUACCCCCACCA